rnacentral:lncRNA from 1 species
CACCCGCCCUGACACUGUCCUGAUGGGGGUCCUGCAGAGAACCCUCCUUAGCCCACAGUGUUUCCACCCGCCCUGACACCGUCCUGAUGGGGGUCCUGCAGAGAACCCUCCUUAGCCCACAGUGUUUCCGCCUGCCCUGAAUGUAUAACUUCACGUUCAGAAAUGUGUUACCCCCCCUCCUCAGACCUCACACAAUUCACGAAUUUCCAAACAGCAGGAAACAGAAACUUCUAAGAAAGCAGAACCCCUGAGUCCAGGUGGGAGAAGGUGCCUGAGAAGACAGACCUGCCAGAGACGGUACCCCAGCAUCCAGACGUCACUCCACAAAUGGCCACGUAAGAGACCAGGAACCACACUUCCCAAGCCUUCUUCAGUCCCAAAAACAUCAGCCUCCCGGAAACCUGAGACGUGCUCAAGGAGAAGCAUGGUGUGAAGUCAGCUGUGGGCGGAGAAUUACCCAGGUGCCCAGGCAAGAGACUGAAGGCACAAACUGUUUCAGUAUAAUAAAGAAAAUAGUUAGAAUAAGAA